GGAACCUUUCGCUGAGUCGGUAGAGCACAGGACUCCUGAUCUUAGGGUUGUGGGUUCAAGACCCGCGCUGGGCCA